CAGCUAGCCGCGGCCGGAGGGGCGGCGCGAGCGGCGGGGCACGGCCUGGUGGCGGCAGCGCCGGUGCGACGGGGGCGCAGCCGAGCGGAGGAAGAGUUCGACCCUGGCGUUGGCACUGGGCACGGCAGACCGAGGAUGGCGCGACGAUGCCAGCGGCUGGGCGGAGCCUGCUUCUGGGGCGCGCGGUGGCUGCCGUCGGAGGAGGAGGAGGAGGCCAGCUGGCACGACGAGCCGCUGAUGGUCGCGCCGGACAGGCUGGACGCGCUCGGGCUGUACAUGACGGGCGGCACCGCUGGCAACGACGCCCCGCGGAUCGACCCUCCCGCCAAGGACGUGUCGUCGCUUCCACGCUGCAGUGCGCUGUUAAUUAACAUGCCAAUCAAUUUCCUAUAUCAAGCAGAAUACAAGAACAAUAAUGCUAUUGAGUUAUAUUACAUUGAUUUUAUCGUCUGCCCAUUAGCAGUUUGGAACAUUGUUUGCAAGGAACGAAUUAAUGGUACUGAAAAUUGGGCCACAUUAGCUGCAGAAGGACUCAAGGAAGUCUCUGUGUCAUACGGAAGUGAAGGUAAAGAGGAGCCUAAGAAAGCAUUCCCCAUGGGACGAUAUAUGUUAGACAAGGAACGAGAAAUGACUUCAUGUAUAGAUAAAGAUGGUCUAAGGGAAUUUUCGGUGUCAUAUGGAAGUAAAGGUGAAGUGGUGACUCGGAAAGCAUUUCCCAUGGAACGAUAUGUGCUAGACAAAGAACCUAAAAGGAAUCUGCACAGAAACAAAGAUGAACUUAGAGAAGUCUCGGUGUUGUAUGGCUCAAAAGGGAAGCUAAAAAAUUUGUUCCCCACUGGGUAUGGACAUAAGAAACAUAAGCAUGCAAAUGAAGCAGAACUAAAGGAGGUCUCAGUGUCGUAUGGAAGUAACAAUGAAGAGAAGCCAAGGAAAGCAUUUCUUAGAGGAGGGCUUUUUUUAGGCAAUGAAUAUGAAAAGUCUCUACACAUAGACAAAGAGGACCUCAAAGAAGUCUCAGUGUCAUAUGGCUCAAAUGUGAAACUAAGCAAUUUGUUCCCAACAGGGUAUGCACAUCAGAAAUAUAUAUUAACAAGCGGAGCUGGACUAAAGGAAGUCUCCGUGACAUAUGGAAGUGAUGGUGAAGAGGAGCCAAGGAAAACAUUCUCUAAAGUAGGGUAUAUGUUAGAUAAGGAAUGCAAGAAGUCUUCAGAUGUAGACCAAGGGGGACUAAAGGAAGUCUCGGCGUCAUAUGGAAGUAAUGGUGAAGAGGAGACCAGCAAAACCACUCCUAUGGGAGGAUACAUGGUAGAUAUGAAAAACGAAAAGUCUCUGCAAGCAGAGAAAGAUGGACUAAAGGAAGUCUCGGUGUCAUAUGGAAGUAAUGGUGAAGAGGAUACAAGCAAAACCUUUGCUAUGGGAGGAUACAUGGUUGAUAAGGAACGUGAAAUGUCUCUACAAGGACAGAAAGAGGAGACAAGAAAAAUCAUUCCUAUGAAAGGAUACAUGGAAGACAGGGAACACGAAAAGUCCCUACAAGCGGAGAAAGGAAUGGAUCAUGGACGCCAUGUUCACGCACACGGCAACAAGAUGCAGCAACUGGCCGACGUCUUCUUCUUCCGCGACGCCCUCCGGCCGGGCUCCGUCAUCACGCCGACCAUCCCGCCGACGACCUCGCUGCCGGCCUUCCUCCCUCGCCACGUCGCCGACGCCAUCCCGUUCUCCGCCGACCGCUUUGCCGACGUCCUCGCCAUGUUCGCGCCGGCGUCCCUCGCCAUGGCGCGCGAGAUACGGUGGGCGCUCGACACCUGCGGCCAGCGGGCGGCGGCGCUGCUCCCGGGCGAGAAGGCCGGCUGCGCCACCUCCCUCGAGUCGCUCGCCGACCUCGCCGCGUCGCUCCUCGGGACGCGCGACGUCCGCGCGUUCUCCGCCGCCGACCUGCCCACCGACGCCGCGACCACGCCGGCGCGGCGCGGGAGGUACAACGUGACGUCCGUGCGGGAGCUCUCGGCGAUGGCUGGUUCCGGUUCGUCGUCGUCGUCGGAGCCGGCGCCGGCUGCCGUCGUGGCGUGCCACGACCUGACGUACCCGUACGCCGUGUUCUACUGCCACAGUACCAAGCCGACCGCCGCGUACGCGGUGACGCUGGUGGCGGCGACCACCGGGGACGGCGACGGCGAAGGCGAGGCGGCCUCGCCGGCGAAGAUGGAGGCGCUCGCCGUGUGCCACCUGGACACGUCGCGGUGGAGGGCGGACAACCCGUUCUUCGUGGCGCACGGCGUCAAGCCGGGGGAGGUGUCCGUGUGCCACUUCCUCACCAAGCUCAGCAUCGUCUGGGUCCCACGCCACGAGCAGGGGGGCCCACGCGCAGCAGCUUAAUCAUCAUCGAUGAUGUAAACACGCUCUACAACCUAAAGUGAACAAUUUGGCGUGGUUUGUGCGUAAUUUGCAGCAACGGUCGAUCGAGCUAUCUACUUAUAUAGUAUGUAAAAAGUGAAUAAUUCAGUUUGUCAUCGUGUGAACCACAUGUGUGCUGCAUAUUUGUGCGUGUGCAUGUUCAUAAUUA
rnacentral:lncRNA from 1 species